rnacentral:rRNA from 1 species
GACGAACGCUGGCGGCGUGCUUAACACAUGCAAGUCGAACGGAAAGGCCCUGAUCUUGUGGGGUGCUCGAGUGGCGAACGGGUGAGUAACACGUGUGUAUCCUGCCCUUGACUUUGGGAUAACUUCAGGAAACUGGGGCUAAUAUCGGAUAGGAGCUCCUGCUGCAUGGUGGGGGUUGGAAAGUUUCGGCGGUUGGGGAUGGACUCGCGGGUUAUCGUCUGGUUGGUGGGGUAGUGGCAUACAACGGCUGUGACGGGUAGCCGGCCUGAGAGGGGGACCGGCCACAAUACGACUAAGAGACGGCCCAGACGCCUACUGGAGGCAGCAGUGGAGAGUAUUACACAGUAAGCGGAAGCCUGAUGCAACAACGCCGCGUGCGGAAUGACGGCCUUCUGGGUAUGAACCGCUGUCGCCUGUAACGAAGCGGGAGUGACGGUAAUGGGUAAAGAAGCACCGGCUAACUACGUG